UGGUUUCAAAAAGGUUAGUGCAUAUUAACUUCCUAAUCUUGUUUACUUAUUGAAAUUUAGUUUGAAUAUGAAUAAAUAAUUAGGAAAUUGAAGAAAAUCAUGUGUGAAAUUGAGAAGCAAAUUUUGGCCAGCACUUAUAGGAUGAGGAAUUGAUGAGUUUUAUUGGGCUAAAACCUAAAUACAAGCUUAGAUAGUGACAUAUGAAUGAUUGAUGACCUUAAUUGGGAUGUGUUGCAUGAUUCAUGGAUUGGAAGCUAGGGUUUUGAGAAGUGAAAUUUGGAUUUAGCUUAUGAAACUGUGAAAGAACAUUAUAAGGGUCA
rnacentral:misc_RNA from 1 species